CUCAGAGCGAACGCUGGCGGCAGGCUUAACACAUGCAAGUCGAGCGGGCCCUUCGGGGUCAGCGGCAGACGGGUGAGUAACGCGUGGGAACGUGCCCUUCGGUUCGGAAUAACUCAGGGAAACUUGAGCUAAUACCGGAUACGUGCUUAGGCAGAAAGGUUUAUCUGCCGAAGGAUCGGCCCGCGUCUGAUUAGCUAGUUGGUGAGGUUAUGGCUCACCAAGGCGACGAUCAGUAGCUGGUCUGAGAGGAUGAUCAGCCACACUGGGACUGAGACACGGCCCAGACUCCUACGGGAGGCAGCAGUGGGGAAUAUUGGACAAUGGGGGCAACCCUGAUCCACCCAUGCCGCGUGAGUGAUGACGGCCUUAGGGUUGUAAAGCUCUUUUCUCCGGGACGAUAAUGACGGUACCGGAGGAAUAACCCCCGGCUAACUUCGUGCCAGCAGUCGCGGUAAUAUGAAGGGGGCUUACCGUGCUCCGACUCACUGGGCGUAAAGGGCGCGUACGCGGCUGCAUUAGGCGAGGGUUAAACCCCGUGGCUCACCACGGACUGGCCU
rnacentral:rRNA from 1 species